GCUCAGGAUGAACGCUGGUAGGCGUGCCCUUAUACAUGCAAGUCGAACGAGUUCUGAUUAUUGAAAGGUGCUUGCAUCUUGAUUUAAUUUUGAACGAGUGGCGGACGGGUGAGUAACACGUGGGUAACCUGCCCUUAAGUGGGGGAUAACAUUUGGAAACAGAUGCUAAUACCGCAUAAAUCCAAGAACCGCAUGGUUCUUGGCUGAAAGAUGGCGUAAGCUAUCGCUUUUGGAUGGACCCGCGGCGUAUUAGCUAGUUGGUGAGGUAACGGCUCACCAAGGCAAUGAUACGUAGCCGAACUGAGAGGUUGAUCGGCCACAUUGGGACUGAGACACGGCCCAAACUCCUACGGGAGGCAGCAGUAGGGAAUCUUCCACAAUGGACGCAAGUCUGAUGGAGCAACGCCGCGUGAGUGAAGAAGGCUUUCGGGUCGUAAAACUCUGUUGUUGGAGAAGAAUGGUCGGCAGAGUAACUGUUGUCGGCGUGACGGUAUCCAACCAGAAAGCCACGGCUAACUACGUGCCAGCAGCCGCGGUAAUACGUAGGUGGCAAGCGUUAUCCGGAUUUAUUGGGCGUAAAGCGAGCGCAGGCGGUUUUUUAAGUCUGAUGUGAAAGCCCUCGGCUUAACCGAGGAAGUGCAUCGGAAACUGGGAAACUUGAGUGCAGAAGAGGACAGUGGAACUCCAUGUGUAGCGGUGAAAUGCGUAGAUAUAUGGAAGAACACCAGUGGCGAAGGCGGCUGUCUGGUCUGUAACUGACGCUGAGGCUCGAAAGCAUGGGUAGCGAACAGGAUUAGAUACCCUGGUAGUCCAUGCCGUAAACGAUGAAUGCUAGGUGUUGGAGGGUUUCCGCCCUUCAGUGCCGCAGCUAACGCAUUAAGCAUUCCGCCUGGGGAGUACGACCGCAAGGUUGAAACUCAAAGGAAUUGACGGGGGCCCGCACAAGCGGUGGAGCAUGUGGUUUAAUUCGAAGCAACGCGAAGAACCUUACCAGGUCUUGACAUCUUUUGAUCACCUGAGAGAUCAGGUUUCCCCUUCGGGGGCAAAAUGACAGGUGGUGCAUGGUUGUCGUCAGCUCGUGUCGUGAGAUGUUGGGUUAAGUCCCGCAACGAGCGCAACCCUUAUGACUAGUUGCCAGCAUUUAGUUGGGCACUCUAGUAAGACUGCCGGUGACAAACCAGAGGAAGGUGGGGAUGACGUCAAAUCAUCAUGCCCCUUAUGACCUGGGCUACACACGUGCUACAAUGGAUGGUACAACGAGUUGCGAGACCGCGAGGUCAAGCUAAUCUCUUAAAGCCAUUCUCAGUUCGGACUGUAGGCUGCAACUCGCCUACACGAAGUCGGAAUCGCUAGUAAUCGCGGAUCACACGCGCGGGGGAAUACCUUCCCGGGCCUUGUACACACCGCCCGUCACACCAUGAGAGUUUGUAACACCCGAAGCCCGUGGCGUAACCCUUUUAAGGAACGAGCCCUCUAAAGUGGGACAA
rnacentral:rRNA from 2 species